rnacentral:rRNA from 1 species
GUGUUACUGACGCUAAAGCUCGAAAGUGCGGGUAUCGAACAGGAUUAGAUACCCUGGUAGUCCGCACGGUAAACGAUGGAUGCCCGCUGUUUGCCCUUCGGGGUGAGUGGCUAAGCGAAAGCGUUAAGCAUCCCCACCUGGGGAGUACGCCGGCAACGGUGAAACUCAAAGGAAUUGACGGGGGCCCGCACAAGCGGAGGAACAUGUGGUUUAAUUCGAUGAUACGCGAGGAACCUUACCCGGGCUUGAAUUGCAGAUGACGGAUCUAGAGAUAGUGACUUCCUUCGGGACAUCUGUGAAGGUGCUGCAUGGUUGUCGUCAGCUCGUGCCGUGAGGUGUCGGCUUAAGUGCCAUAACGAGCGCAACCCUUCUCUUCAGUUGCCAUCAGGUAGAGCUGGGCACUCUGGAGACACUGCCACCGUAAGGUGUGAGGAAGGUGGGGAUGACGUCAAAUCAGCACGGCCCUUACGUCCGGGGCUACACACGUGUUACAAUGGCCGGUACAGAAAGUCGGAUGCCCGUAAGGUCAUUCUAAUCAAGAAAGCCGGUCCCAGUUCGGACUGAGGUCUGCAACCCGACCUCACGAAGCUGGAUUCGCUA